rnacentral:lncRNA from 1 species
CAGUUUUUCUGAACUGCUGAGUAGAGAGAGGAAUAUUUUCAAGGAAACACGAGGAGAUUAGGAUGAACCUUCUUUGCCCCUCACCCCACCUCACCUGCUUUGUACCUAUCAGUGGAAGGUGAGGGCUGGUCUUGGGGGCAGGAAGAUGGAUGAAGUGACAUUUGCAGGAUCCCCUGGGGGCAGGUGUAUAGGAGGUGAGUACUCGAGGGGCAUUUCAUCACGCAUUGCUCUUAGGCAUGGCUAGCCUGGAUGGGUCUCAAUUAGGAGUAAGGAGACCUAGGUUCCCAUCCUGCUUGGUCUCAAAUCCCUGCAAAGGCUGCACCUUGAGUUGCUAGGCAU